GCUGGGAUGGGGGAAUCUAUAGGAAGAAAGCAGAGGAUAAAGGUGGGGUACAGGCUUACCAUCUGAACCUCAGCGAGACUCCUCAGCCCUUGGCCCAGCUCAUUUUAUAGAUGAGGAAACUGAGGUAAACAGGGUAAAGUGACUUGUCUAACCCCUGAAGCUAGGAAGCAUCUAAGGGCAAAUUUUGGAACUCAGGUCUUCCUGACUCCAGGCUGGCAUUCUAUCCAUUCAACACCCGAGGUUCACCGGGAAGGAGGGGAAGCUCCAGGGCCACAGGUAGGCCGCCUCUGGACUGGUUCCAAGGGAGAGGCAAUCUGGGCCCAAAGGACAAUGCCUUCCUCACCAUGCCUCAGCAAAGACCAUUAUCUAAAACUAGAAUAUCCCUCCCUCUUCCACACCACCAUCCCUUUCAAAUCCAUUAAAGGCCCAGCUCAGGGGCCACCCUCUCCAGGAAGCCUUCCCUGAUCUCCCCGUCUGUAUCACCCUUGACUUCCUCCACACUCCCCAAGCACUGCUGUAUACCUAUAAUGAAUGAUUGUGAUUUGGAUAUAUGUCAUCAUCCAUUAAAGCCAUACCUGAUCAUGAGCUAAAA